rnacentral:tRNA from 1 species
CACCACAUAGUCCAGGAUGAUGCGCAGGCCCAUCGCGUGGGCCUCACGGAUGAGGGUGCGCAGGUCGUCGUUCGUGCCGAUGUGCGGCGCC